rnacentral:rRNA from 1 species
AUGCAAGUCGAACGGUGAAGAGGAGCUUGCUCCUUGGAUCAGUGGCGAACGGGUGAGUAACACGUGAGCAAUCUGCCCUUGACUCUGGGAUAACUGCGGGAAACUGUAGCUAAUACCGGAUAUUACCUUGGAAGGCAUCUUCUGGGGUGGAAAGAAUUUUGGUCAAGGAUGAGCUCGCGGCCUAUCAGCUAGUUGGUGAGGUAAUGGCUCACCAAGGCGACGACGGGUAGCCGGCCUGAGAGGGUGACCGGCCACACUGGGACUGAGACACGGCCCAGACUCCUACGGGAGGCAGCAGUGGGGAAUAUUGCACAAUGGGCGCAAGCCUGAUGCAGCAACGCCGCGUGAGGGACGACGGCCUUCGGGUUGUAAACCUCUUUUAGUAGGGAAGAAGCGACUGGGUUUUCCUGGGAGUGACGGUACCUGCAGAAAAAGCACCGGCUAACUACGUGCCAGCAGCCGCGGUAAUACGUAGGGUGCAAGCGUUGUCCGGAAUUAUUGGGCGUAAAGAGCUCGUAGGCGGUUUGUCGCGUCUGCUGUGAAAACCCGAGGCUCAACCUCGGGCCUGCAGUGGGUACGGGCAGACUAGAGUGCGGUAGGGGAGAUUGG